rnacentral:rRNA from 1 species
AGACCAAUGCGGGCGGCUACCAUGCAAGUCGAGCGGUAACAGAUCCAGCUUGCUGGAUGCUGACGAGCGGCGGACGGGUGAGUAAUGCAUAGGAAUCUGCCCGAUAGUGGGGGAUAACCUGGGGAAACCCAGGCUAAUACCGCAUACGUCCUACGGGAGAAAGGGGGCUUCGGCUCCCGCUAUCGGAUGAGCCUAUGUCGGAUUAGCUAGUUGGUGAGGUAACGGCUCACCAAGGCCACGAUCCGUAGCUGGUCUGAGAGGAUGAUCAGCCACAUCGGGACUGAGACACGGCCCGAACUCCUACGGGAGGCAGCAGUGGGGAAUAUUGGACAAUGGGGGGAACCCUGAUCCAGCCAUGCCGCGUGUGUGAAGAAGGCCCUCGGGUUGUAAAGCACUUUCAGCGAGGAAGAACGCCUAGCGGUUAAUACCCGCUAGGAAAGACAUCACUCGCAGAAGAAGCACCGGCUAACUCCGUGCCAGCAGCCGCGGUAAUACGGAGGGUGCAAGCGUUAAUCGGAAUUACUGGGCGUAAAGCGCGCGUAGGUGGCUUGAUAAGCCGGUUGUGAAAGCCCCGGGCUCAACCUGGGAACGGCAUCCGGAACUGUCAAGCUAGAGUGCAGGAGAGGAAGGUAGAAUUCCCGGUGUAGCGGUGAAAUGCGUAGAGAUCGGGAGGAAUACCAGUGGCGAAGGCGGCCUUCUGGACUGACACUGACACUGAGGUGCGAAAGCGUGGGGUAGCAAACAGGAUUAGAUACCUGGGUAGUCA